GCGGCAGUGUGCUGAAAGAUUGCCAAAAUGGCUGAACAAAGACAAAUUCCUGAAGAAAUGCAGGAAUUACUGCGGCAAAUGCACCGAACCACAACUCUGAUCCUGGAGAGGGUGGUUCAAUUUCCAUCUCCAGCACAAAAUUCCAGCCCUGCACCUGAGAGAAGUUGUAUCUCUUCUGUCCCUACUGUGUC